rnacentral:rRNA from 1 species
CUAUACAUGCAAGUCGAACGCGCAGCGAAAGGUGCUUGCACCUUUCAAGCGAGUGGCGAACGGGUGAGUAACACGUGGAUAACCUGCCUCAAGGCUGGGGAUAACAUUUGGAAACAGAUGCUAAUACCGAAUAAAACUUAGUAUCGCAUGAUACAAAGUUAAAAGGCGCUACGGCGUCACCUAGAGAUGGAUCCGCGGUGCAUUAGUUAGUUGGUGGGGUAAAGGCUUACCAAGACGAUGAUGCAUAGCCGAGUUGAGAGACUGAUCGGCCACAUUGGGACUGAGACACGGCCCAAACUCCUACGGGAGGCUGCAGUAGGGAAUCUUCCACAAUGGGCGCAAGCCUGAUGGAGCAACGCCGCGUGUGUGAUGAAGGCUUUCGGGUCGUAAAGCACUGUUGUAUGGGAAGAAAUGCUAAAAUAGGGAAUGAUUUUAGUUUGACGGUACCAUACCAGAAAGGGACGGCUAAAUACGUGCCAGCAGCCGCGGUAAUACGUAUGUCCCGAGCGUUAUCCGGAUUUAUUGGGCGUAAAGCGAGCGCAGACGGUUGAUUAAGUCUGAUGUGAAAGCCCGGAGCUCAACUCCGGAAUGGCAUUGGAAACUGGUUAACUUGAGUGUUGUAGAGGUAAGUGGAACUCCAUGUGUAGCGGUGGAAUGCGUAGAUAUAUGGAAGAACACCAGUGGCGAAGGCGGCUUACUGGACAACAACUGACGUUGAGGCUCGAAAGUGUGGGUAGCAAACAGGAUUAGAUACCCUGGUAGUCCACACCGUAAACGAUGAAUACUAGGUGUUAGGAGGUUUCCGCCUCUUAGUGCCGAAGCUAACGCAUUAAGUAUUCCGCCUGGGGAGUACGACCGCAAGGUUGAAACUCAAAGGAAUUGACGGGGACCCGCACAAGCGGUGGAGCAUGUGGUUUAAUUCGAAGCAACGCGAAGAACCUUACCAGGUCUUGACAUCCUUUGAAGCUUUUAGAGAUAGAAGUGUUCUCUUCGGAGACAAAGUGACAGGUGGUGCAUGGUCGUCGUCAGCUCGUGUCGUGAGAUGUUGGGUUAAGUCCCGCAACGAGCGCAACCCUUAUUGUUAGUUGCCAGCAUUCAGUUGGGCACUCUAGCGAGACUGCCGGUGACAAACCGGAGGAAGGCGGGGACGACGUCAGAUCAUCAUGCCCCUUAUGACCUGGGCUACACACGUGCUACAAUGGCGUAUACAACGAGUUGCCAACCUGCGAAGGUGAGCUAAUCUCUUAAAGUACGUCUCAGUUCGGACUGCAGUCUGCAACUCGACUGCACGAAGUCGGAAUCGCUAGUAAUCGCGGAUCAGCACGCCGCGGUGAAUACGUUCCCGGGUCUUGUACACACCGCCCGUCACACCAUGGGAGUUUGUAAUGCCCAAAGCCGGUGGCCUAACCUUCGGG